rnacentral:lncRNA from 1 species
ACAUUGAGCUACAAGGAUUUGACUCCUGAGUCUCAAAAGGACACCAAGUACUGCCAAAUCUCAAACUCUGACAGCAAUUAAAGCCUCAUCUGCAGGCCCUGUAGAAGAUGCCAAUCAAAAUAAACUGUGUUCCUGAGACACAGGGGCAGAAAUUAAAGCUAUUCAACUCCUCAAGGCCAAGGGAUUAUCAUGGAAGAGAGCCAAGGAAAUUUUUUUGAGCUAUUGACAUCUUUUAACAAGUUACUAUACUCCUAUGAACAAAAUUUGGAACAUAUUUGUUUCUCUCUACCUGAUUUCUCCAGAAUUUGGAAACUACUUGAAUCAAACUGGACUUAUAGAGCAAAUAAAAAUCCCUUGGGAAAACUGGCCUCAUACCUUGUCUACACAGUUCCUGUACAGGGUUCCUGAC